AACGAACGCUGGCGGCAGGCCUAACACAUGCAAGUCGAGCGAGGACUUCGGUCCUAGCGGCGGACGGGUGAGUAACGCGUGGGAACGUGCCCUUUGCUUCGGAAUAGCCCUGGGAAACUGGGAGUAAUACCGGAUGAGCCCUUUGGGGGAAAGAUUUAUCGGCGAAGGAUCGGCCCGCGUUGGAUUAGGUAGUUGGUGGGGUAAUGGCCUACCAAGCCGACGAUCCAUAGCUGGUUUGAGAGGAUGAUCAGCCACACUGGGACUGAGACACGGCCCAGACUCCUACGGGAGGGAGCAGUGGGGAAUCUUAGAAAAUGGGGGAAACCCUGAUCUAGCCAUGCCGCGUGAGCGAUGAAGGCCUUAGGGUUGUAAAGCUCUUUCAGCUGGGAAGAUGAUGACGGUACCAGCAGAAGAAGCCCCGGCUAACUCCGUG
rnacentral:rRNA from 1 species